UACGUAGGGGGCAAGCGUUGUCCGGAAUUAUUGGGCGUAAAGAGCGUGUAGGCGGUCCGGUAAGUCAGCUGUGAAAGUCAAGGGCUCAACCCUUGAAUGCCGGUUGAUACUGUCGGGCUAGAGUCCGGAAGAGGCGAGUGGAAUUCCCGGUGUAGCGGUGAAAUGCGCAGAUAUCGGGAGGAACACCAAUGGCGAAGGCGACUUCCUGGCCUGUUCUUGACGCUGAGGCGCGAAAGCUAGGGGAGCAAACGGG
rnacentral:rRNA from 1 species